rnacentral:piRNA from 1 species
UUUUUGGAAAACCUGCAUAGCACUUC